CGUUUAGUUCUCAUUUUCGGUGCCCGUAUCCGGGUGAAAAGGGAAGAGGGGUGCAAAUCCCCCGCGGACCCGCCACUGUAAGCGAUGACGAUGGAUCACAAGCCACUGGCCCGUGCCGGGAAGGCGAUCUGGAGGAUGAUUCGCAAGCCAGGAGACCUGCCGGAAAGUACACACGACC
rnacentral:ncRNA from 2 species